rnacentral:misc_RNA from 1 species
GUGAAUCAUCGAAUUUUUGAACGCAAAUUGCACUCCCUGGGGUUCCGGGGAGUAUUCCUGGGUGAGGGUCUAUAGAACAAAAAUCUAAGCGUCGCUCUUUUUUUUUAGGGGUGAUCGCGGCGGAAUUAAACCGUCUUUCAAAUGUUGAUUCAUAUCAAAGUGGCUGUUAAUUCAUCCUUUCGAUG